GGCAAGUCUGGUGCCAGCAGCCGCGGUAAUUCCAGCUCCAAUAGCGUAUAUUAAAGUUGUUGCAGUUAAAAGCUCGUAGUUGGACCUUGGGCAAGAUGCAUCGGGUCAGUCGCAAGACUGGACUCGGUCGUCGCGCCUCUACUGGGGGACUCGUGGCCGCAAGGCGACGGGGCAACCUGCGUUACUGUGAAGAAAUUAGAGUGUUUAAAGCAGGCGAUCGCUUGAAUACAUCAGCAUGGAAUAACAAGACAAGACAUUGGGUCUUCUUGUUGGUUUGGGGAGCAGUGUAAUGAUUAAUAGGGCCAGUUGGGGCAUUAGUAUUCAGUAGUCAGAGGUGAAAUUCUUGGAUUUACUGAAGACUAACUAGUGCGAAAGCAUUUGCCAAGGAUGUUUUCAUUAAUCAAGAACGAAGUUAGGGGAUCGAAGAUGAUCAGAUACCGU
rnacentral:rRNA from 1 species